rnacentral:rRNA from 1 species
AGAGUUUGAUCCUGGCUCAGGAUGAACGCUAGCGGGAGGCCUAACACAUGCAAGUCGAGCGGGAUUUCCCUUCGGGGGAUGAGAGCGGCGCACGGGUGAGUAACGCGUAUGUAAUCUACCAUUAACCGGGGAAUAGCUCAGAGAAAUCUGGAUUAAUGCCCCAUAGUAUUAUCGAAAGGCAUCUUUUGAUAAUUAAAGCUCAGGCGGUUUUUGAUGAACAUGCGUGACAUUAGCUAGUUGGUAAGGUAACGGCUUACCAAGGCUACGAUGUCUAGGGGUUCUGAGAGGAUGAUCCCCCACACUGGUACUGAGACACGGACCAGACUCCUACGGGAGGCAGCAGUGAGGAAUAUUGGUCAAUGGGCGCAAGCCUGAACCAGCCAUCCCGCGUGCAGGAUGACGGCCCUAUGGGUUGUAAACUGCUUUUAUACACCAAGAAAAAUCCCCACGUGUGGGGACCCGACGGUAGUGUAUGAAUAAGCAUCGGCUAACUCCGUGCCAGCAGCCGCGGUAAUACGGAGGAUGCAAGCGUUAUCCGGAUUCAUUGGGUUUAAAGGGUGCGUAGGCGGCUUUUUAAGUCAGUGGUGAAAUCCUGCCGCUUAACGGUAGAAUUGCCAUUGAUACUGAAAAGCUUGAGUACAUUUGAGGUAAGCGGAAUGUGUAGUGUAGCGGUGAAAUGCUUAGAUAUUACACAGAACACCAAUUGCGAAGGCAGCUUACUAAACUGAUACUGACGCUGAUGCACGAAAGCGUGGGGAGCGAACAGGAUUAGAUACCCUGGUAGUCCACGCCGUAAACGAUGCUCACUCGCUGUUUGCGAUACACAGCAAGCGGCCAAGCGAAAGCAUUAAGUGAGCCACCUGGGGAGUACGAUCGCAAGGUUGAAACUCAAAGGAAUUGACGGGGGCCCGCACAAGCGGAGGAACAUGUGGUUUAAUUCGAUGAUACGCGAGGAACCUUACCUGGGCUUGACAUGCUGGGAACCCUUAAGAGAUUAGGGGGUGCCUGCUUAGCACCUGUGCAGGUGCUGCAUGGUUGUCGUCAGCUCGUGCCGUGAGGUGUCGGGUUAAGUCCCAUAACGAGCGCAACCCUUAUCGUUAGUUGCCAGCGGAUUAAGUUGGGCACUCUAGCGAGACUGCCACCGUAAGGUGUGAGGAAGGUGGGGAUGACGUCAAAUCAGCACGGCCCUUAUGUCCAGGGCUACACACGUGUUACAAUGGCCGAUACAAAGGGCAGCUACCAGGUGACUGGAUGCCAAUCCCAUAAAGCCGGUCUCAGUUCGGAUCGAAGUCUGCAACCCGACUUCGUGAAGCUGGAUUCGCUAGUAAUCGCAUAUCAGCCAUGAUGCGGUGAAUACGUUCCCGGGCCUUGUACACACCGCCCGUCAAACAAUGGAAGCUGGGGGUACCUGAAGUCUGUAACCGCAAGGAGCGGCCUAGGGUAAAACUAGUAACUGGUGUUAAGUCGUAACAAGGUAACC